UAAAGUCGGGUGCGUCUCAUAUGUGCACAAAAGAAGAACAACACAUACAAUGACCAAGUGUAUAGACAUAAAUGUCAUAAAUAUCAUUAUUACAUGGCGGAAGAGUCUUACAUAAAUAAAUGAUAGCAAUAAAAUGGACUAAAAAUUAUUCCUUGGCACCAUAAAGCUGACUGGGAGACGCCACCUAGAUAAGCUUAUACUCUUCGCCGUAGACCUCCUCUUGCGCCACAUGUUCUUCUCCUGUAGGGGGGGGUUUAUAUAUCGCAAGGGUGAGCUCACAAAAGAUCAUAGCUCAACAAGUUGUGGGGAAUAAUGUGCAUGAACUCACCGAAGGUGGGAGUUCAUGUGAAGUGUAAGGCUGAUCAACGAAUAAUGGUUAAAGCUGAGCAUUGCUUUUAAUAAGUUGGUCAGAAUUUAUUAGCAGUUACUAAAUGUAAGUAUAUACCAAAUUAGAGUAAUAAUAGAUCAUAAUUAAUAAUAAACCACAAUGCGAUGCAAAUGACCAAAAAUUUAAUUCUAUACCAUGUGAGGGUCUGAGCCGCUCAUGACCGUGAGCACAGCUGAUAUACCAGUUUUACACUCUGCAGAGGUUGCACAUCUUUACCCACAAGUCAUUUUACCCAUAUGCCAAGGGGUCAUGAAUCGCAUACACCUCUACCAAGGAAGCGAGGCAGGGUAACACUGCGAGGCCUUUACAAAGUUCCACUAACUUUAGAAAACCCGCUAUAGUUUCUAGAGAGCGCAGCAUAGGAAUCCCCCAUCUGAAAAGCCAUCACAGCAAAAUCAACCCGAGAGGCCGAGAACCUCCCUAUACCGACCACUCCCCUGCUGCCCUUGCCCCUUUUGGCUAAGGUAGUCCUCCAAUAUCUUUCCUAAUUAGUCAGCCAAGGGCGUCCCAUACCACCCUUGUGGUAGCACUAUUUUCCCAGGUAGUCGCUCUAUGUUCUAAUUAACAUAAUGAUCUUGUCAUGAACGGUAAAUAACAAAUCGAUAAUAAAAGCAUGAUCAUGAAUAAUGUGUAUAUUAGCACCCAAAACCACAUAAAGCAAUAACAGGUACUACCAAAAAGUUCAGUGGUAAACAAGGUAUAAAGAUAGCCAAACUGGGGUGACCUAUUGGGUCCCAUAAAAAUUAACCUAUGCAGAUCAUAAUGAUUAAUAGAAAUAUUAUUGGGUAAAUAGAUGUGAUCAAGGGCACAACUUGCCUUCAACGAGCUCCUCCUCAGUCACUUGCCCGUCUACUCGCAACAAUACAAGCAAACAUGGUACAAGGAAAAUUAACAUCAUACCAAACAUGAGAAUAUAUUGCAUAAUAAUAUUAUAUGCAUCAUAACAAGAUCGUAAGUUCGGGAAUCACUAAAUUCGGAGUUAUGGUUAAAGAGUUAUGAUUUUCUGAAGUUAUUAAGUGCCUAGUAUACAAUAAGUUAAGUGGAUAAUUUUAAUACAUGUUUCAUGACAAAACAGAGUUACCAAGUGAUAAACAAUAUUAAUACAAAAUUAAUGCGACUGGAAUGGAUAAAAAAAGAGUUAAAAUGGAUUUUCUAUGAAUUAAACAAGUUCUAGAAUUAUUUUUAUACUAGAAAAGCAUUUUCUAUAUGAAUUUACCUAUUUUCUUAGAUUUCUGGACUGCGCGCAUCAAUUCUGAGAAAUGCAGGGUUCAUUUUUUUAAAUCCUGGGUCCAUUUGUAAUUUCUUUCUAACUGGGUUGGACGAGGGGUUGAUAAGCUAAAUCUUAAUUCGGCGCUUUGGAUUUUAAUACCCAAUAUCAUCCCUCGCCCGCACGAUCUGGAUCGGACGGCACCCGCGGCAUCCUCCUGAAGAGGUAUCCCGCAUCUAAUCGUGUCCGUUACACUCUCGAUCAACGAUCACCGCGUUCUCUCCCCAUACCAACUGCGCACGGGCGGUGGCGCCCGCAGACACGGCGGUGGCCAUGGCCGUGGAUGGCCAACUCGACACCUCAGGCCGCAAACUCUAAUCUAAGAUGUGCUACGAGAUAAGUAGACGAAGGUGAUCUUCAUGGGUUCAGUACUCACCAAACACAAAGUCACGCACGGGCUGUUCACGGUGGGGCGCGAGCGCGAUGGAAAUCCCAACUCCGGCGAAGGAUUCCCAUGGACUUAGCUAGGUCCCUUUCGAUUACUCUCUCCCACGGCUUCUAUGCAAUCAGCCUGAGACUCGGGUGGCCACGAUGGGGGCCGAACCCCACUGCAGAUGGCUAUCCGUGACGGCGGUGAUUUGUCUCCUCGUGGGAUGCGGCGACGCAAUGGGUGGUGUGGAGUAGCGGCGGCGGAAAAAGGGCACGAGUGGACGAGGCCGAAGGAUGCGCUAUUUGUAGGCGAGACGGGUAUGGGGGCAGCUCGCAAGCUCCAGCGAGGAUCUCGGUGUGGUCGGUACUCGCCUGGGACCGAACUGCUGAGAAGACCAACUGCACCCAG
rnacentral:lncRNA from 1 species